CUCCGGUGAUUCCUGCCGGACCCGACUGCUAUCGGAUUGAGAUUUAGCCAUGCGAGUCGAACGUCCCCCUGUUGCGGGGGGCGUGGCGUACGGCUCAGUAACACGUAGUCAACCUGCCCUGGAGACAAGGACAACCCCGGGAAACUGGGAUUAAUCCUUGAUAGGUCAUCUCAUCUGGAAGGAGAGAUGGCUUAAAGGGGUACGCGGGCUUCUUCCGCGAAUCUGCUCCAGGAUGGGACUGCGUCCGAUCAGGCUGUUGGCGGGGUAAUGGCCCACCAAACCUGUAACCGGUACGGGCCUUGAGAGAGGUGGCCCGGAGAUGGACACUGAGAGAAGGGUCCAGGUCCUACGGGGCGCAGCAGGCGCGAAACCUUCGCAAUGCGCGAAAGCGUGACGAGGUUAAUCCGAGUGACUCCCGCUGAGGGGGUCUUUUGUCAGCUGUAAAUAGGCAGGCGAAUAAGGGGAGGGCAAGCCUGGUGUCAGCCGCCGCGGUAAUACCAGCUCCUCGAGUGGUCGGGGCGAUUAUUGGGCCUAAAGCAUCCGUAGCCGGUUCCGUAGGUCCUCUGUUAAAUCCAACCGCUUAACGGUUGACCUGCAGAGGAUACCGCGGGACUAGGAGGCGGGAGAGGCGGACGGUACUCCGCGUGUAGGGGUAAAAUCCUUUGAUCCGCGGAAGACCACCAGUGGCGAAGGCGGUCCGCCAGAACACGUUCGACGGUGAGGGAUGAAAGCUGGGGGAGCAAACCGGAUUAGAUACCCGGGUAGUCCCAGCUGUAAACGAUGCAAACUCGGUGAUGCAUUGGCUUAUGGCCAAUGCAGUGCCGCAGGGAAGCCGUUAAGUUUGCCGCCUGGGAAGUACGGACGCAAGUCUGAAACUUAAAGGAAUUGGCGGGGGAAGCA
rnacentral:rRNA from 1 species